GUAUAAGAGACAGGGUGAGUCAUCGAAUCUUUGAACGCACAUUGCGCCCCUUGGUAUUCCAUGGGGCAUGCCUGUUCGAGCGUCAUUUGUACCUUCAAGCUCUGCUUGGUGUUGGGUGUUUGUCUCGCCUCUGCGUGUAGACUCGCCUUAAAACAAUUGGCAGCCGGCGUAUUGAUUUCGGAGCGCAGUACAUCUCGCGCUUUGCACUCACAACGACGACGUCCAAAAGUACAUUUUUACACUCUUGACCUCGGAUCAGGUAGGGAUACCCGCUGAACUUAAGCAUAUCAAUAAGCGGAG
rnacentral:misc_RNA from 1 species